CUCAAGUUCUGCGUUGCAUAGAACUUGAGCUCUCGCUGCGAUCGACGAGGGGCUGCGACAACAGAGGAAGUUCUGUUUCUGUAACCGCUACAAGGAGGGGCUACGGCAACCGACGACUGCGGUUACGGUGCCGGCGGUCCUUCUCGCUCGAGCAAGAUGGGGACGCGAGGAGAAGAGGUCGCUAGCCGGGUGAUCGAGCGGCGGCGAUGCGGCUGGGAAAAGUGGUGGUGACGCGGUUGGGAACAAGGGCAAUCCGUGAGUUGCCCUGUUUCGGUCGCCGCGAGGAGGGCGACAAUCGGUGGCUGCGACCCAAGGGGAGGCUGUAACACCCCUCAUUUCCGAAUGUUCGUAUAAAUUUUUGGUGAUAAUGUAAGCAUCUAUUUUAAUUGACAAAAGAAAGAGUAUGAAUCAGAGGUAACUUAUUUUUAAGAUUUGGGAGAUCUGUUCAAAAAAAAAAGAAAAAGAAAGAAUCUGAGGACCUAUAUGUAAACCCUAAGGACCUAAUCGUGAAUAUGAUAAAAACAAGGACUAAACUGCAAAAUGCACCAAAUGACAAAUUCCACCGCUUAAGCUUUCUCUGCCUUCGUUGUUAAGGAAGCAGAGGAGGCAGCUCGUGGGUGAUCAGGGAAAGAAAGAAAGAAAGAAGAAGAAGAAGAAGAAGAAGAAGAAGAAGAAGAAGAAGAGAAAGAAAAUUGGGGCUUUUAGGGCUCUUGCUUUAAUCUUGUCAUUUCGGGUCAAAAUUUCCAAAGGAUAGCGUAUCGCUUGCUUAAAUGUUAAGAAUGGGCUGAGGCAGUGGAAAGUUUAGAAGACGUUGGCCAGAACUUUUGUUAGCAUAUAUGUAGUUGUGUAUAAGCUACCUUGCAUCUAAUGAAAUGUGACUAUGAAUCUAAACCUGUGGAUUUUGUGCAAGUUAAAGGAUCCCUCAUGUAUAGGGUUUGGAAUGUUAAAUUAAAUUCGUGUAAUGAUAUGAACUUAUGGUAAAUCGAUGAUUGUGGUGACUGCAUAGAUUUCCCCACUUGUGGAUUUA